UUUUUAGGAUAAUAAAUUUUCUGAAAGAACGACAGGCAUUCAGACUGAAGUGGGUUGGAGCUCUGAGAAAUGCAAAGAUCAAAGUUAUGAUGAUCUAUGGACCUGCAGACCCCGUGAACCCAUCAGAAUUUGCACAGGUUUUUAGAACUACAGUCCCAGAUCAGACACUGAAGGUUCUUUCACCACAAGUUGGGCAUUACCCACAGUGGGAAGACCCAAAUGCUGUCAGCAAUGUUUUAAUUCAAUUUAUUAAGAACUUGCCCACUCCUUAAAUAGCUGAUUGUUUGA